rnacentral:tRNA from 1 species
GCCGCCUUAGCUCAGUUGGUAGAGCAACAGUUUCGUAAAUUGUAGGUCGCGGGUUCGAGUCCCAUAGGCGGCU